rnacentral:rRNA from 1 species
UACCAGCACCCCGAGUGGUCGGGACGAUUAUUGGGCCUAAAGCAUCCGUAGCCGGUCUUACAAGUCCUCCGUUAAAUCCAGCUGCUUAACAGAUGGGAUGCGGAGGAUACUAUAAGACUAGGAGGCAGGAGAGGCAAGCGGUACUCAGUGGGUAGGGGUAAAAUCCGUUGAUCCAUUGAAGACCACCAGUGGCGAAGGCGGCUUGCCAGAAUGCGCUCGACGGUGAGGGAUGAAAGCUGGGGGAGCAAACCGG